GCACAGCAAAUAACGGCAAAACCACCUGACCCCGGACUGAUUUACCCCGCCAUACGCAUCGGUCUACGGAACCGAAGCUUAGAGGUUCGAAUCCUCUGGGGUGUA
rnacentral:tRNA from 2 species